CAGGCUUUGAAAAUGAAGCCAUCGGUCUUGGCUAAGUUUCUGCCAACAGCACAAAUUACACUGUGCAGAGAUCCAAAGCCCCUAAAAAGGUUUCAUUAAUGAACAAUUUCAGACGAUUGUUUAAGUCUUUGCCUGACAGGUAAGGUUGGCAUGUAGGCAGGUGGGGUUAAAGUUUCCAUGGAGAUUUAUGAUGUCAUGCUUGAAAGAGCAUGUCAAGACAGCCAAUUUAACAAGUAGCUACUCAAAUAGUCCUAUAGGCUACAAGUCGGUUUUAUGCAAAUGACAAGAGUUUUACUGGGAAAAACUGCAAAAGAAAACAGUAGAGACAUGGAAGGGGGGUUUACCUGACAGCUCGGAAGGAUGACCCCGGAGUGCAGGAGAGACGAAAACUUCCAGAAGACCAGUUAGAUUUUCUGCCUUAACGGCAGCCUCACCUGUGGC
rnacentral:lncRNA from 1 species